CCAUUACUACAUGAUACAAGAGAACAGAUUCCAGUUUUUCCCAGUUCCCAUUUUUUUGAGUGGCUGGAGUAUCGUGGACAGUAUUUGUCAGGCACUUCAGAUUGUGUGAAAAGGGGCCAUAUCUGUAAUAGAACACAAAACACCAUGCGGAACUGCUGGCAGAGUUCACGACAAAACUGUGGCAGUGUAAACGCAUGUGCUUUCCAAACACUUCUUGGUCAUUGCUCAAGGGUGAGGAAGGACUGAGGAGAGUCCAAAAGAAAGCAGACUGGAUGCAAUUAUUCUGCUUUGGUAAGGAGGGAGUAAGCAUAGCUGCCUGAAUACAAGGCACUCGGCGCUACCUGCCCGGUCUUCCUGCUAUGAAAAUGCAGGCAGGUGCCUACACUGGACAACUGGACAGAUUUCUUGCAAAGUGGCCAAAUUCAUAAUUGCAGACAAACUACAUAUGAUCUUGAGAGUCUUUGAAGCUCUGUAGUAGUCAGAGCACAAUUUGGAGCUGUUCUGCCAGCCAUCAAGUACUUUCCCACAGAGAUGCUAGAAGGCUUGGCUACAUAUUCCUGUGCUACAUAUGGAGUGGGCAACGGUGUCCUGUGCUUGGCAAACACAACAGAUGAGUGCCCUCCCUGCCUUCUGCUGCCCCCUCUGCUGACCUGAGCGAGUGCUGCCCUUUGGAGAGGCUGGGAAGAGAAACAGCUCAGCUUAUUUUGACUGCAGCAGUGGAGGAACCAUUCAUAGGACAGGGAGGAGAUUCCCUCAGGGUCUGGGUCAAGGCAGUAACCUGUCAAGCUGCUGGGACUAAUUGCAGUCUUCCCCUAGCAGUCAAUCACUUCAGCUCACUCUUCAAAGUUUGAAGUCUCUUGUCUGAAGCAAGGUUCAGACAU